rnacentral:rRNA from 1 species
UGGGGAAUAUUGCACAAUGGGCGCAAGCCUGAUGCAGCCAUGCCGCGUGUGUGAAGAAGGCCUUCGGGUUGUAAAGCACUUUCAGCGGGGAGGAAGGCGAUAAGGUUUAUAACCUUGUCGAUUGACGUUACCCGCAGAAGAAGCACCGGCUAACUCCGUGCCAGCAGCCGCGGUAAUACGGAGGGUGCAAGCGUUAAUCGGAAUUACUGGGCGUAAAGCGCACGCAGGCGGUCUGUCAAGUCAGAUGUGAAAUCCCCGGGCUUAACCCGGGAAUUGCAUCUGAUACUGGUCAGCUAGAGUCUUGUAGAGGGGGGUAGAAUUCCAUGUGUAGCGGUGAAAUGCGUAGAGAUGUGGAGGAAUACCGGUGGCGAAGCGGACCCCUGGACAAAGACUGACGCUCAGGUGCGAAAGCGUGGGGAGCAAACAGG